rnacentral:rRNA from 1 species
AUUGAACGCUGGCGGCAUGCUUUACACAUGCAAGUCGAACGGUAACAGGGUGCUUGCACCGCUGACGAGUGGCGAACGGGUGAGUAGUGCGUCGGAACGUGCCGAGUAGUGGGGGAUAACGCAGCGAAAGUUGUGCUAAUACCGCAUACGUACUGAGGUAGAAAGUGGGGGACCUUCGGGCCUCACGCUAUUCGAGCGGCCGACGUCAGAUUAGCUAGUAGGUGAGGUAAAGGCUCACCUAGGCGACGAUCAGUAGCGGGUCUGAGAGGAUGAUCCGCCACACGUGGACGGAGACACGGCCCAGACUCCUACGGGAGGCAGCGGUGGGGAAUUUUGGACAAUGGGCGAAAGCCUGAUCCAGCCAUGCCGCGUGUCUGAAGAAGGCCUUCGGGUUGUAAAGGACUUUUGUCAGGGAGGAAAUCCCUAGUGCUAAUAACACUGGGGGAUGACAGUACCUGAAGAAUAAGCACCGGCUAACUACGUGCCAGCAGCCGCCGUAA